UACGUAGGUGGCAAGCGUUGUCCGGAUUUACUGGGCGUAAAGAGCGCGCAGGCGGUCGAGUAAGUCGAAUGUGAAAGCCCCCGGCUUAACUGGGGAGGGUCAUUCGAUACUGUUCGACUUGAAGGCAGGAGAGGGCAGCAGAAUUCCCGGUGUAGUGGUGAAAUGCGUAGAUAUCUGGAGGAACACCGGUGGCGAAGGCGGCAUCCUGGACCGGUAUUGACGCUGAGGCGCGAAAGCCAGGGGAGCAAACGGG
rnacentral:rRNA from 1 species